rnacentral:rRNA from 1 species
GAUCCUGGCUCAGGAUGAACGCUAGCUACAGGCUUAACACAUGCAAGUCGAGGGGCAGCUAUGGUCUUUAGCUUGCUAAAGGUCCGAUGGCGACCGGCGCACGGGUGAGUAACACGUAUCCAACCUGCCGUCUACUCUUGGACAGCCUUCUGAAAGGAAGAUUAAUACAAGAUGGCAUCAUGAGUUCACAUGUUCACAUGAUUAAAGGUAUUCCGGUAGACGAUGGGGA